rnacentral:rRNA from 1 species
CCUACGGGAGGCAGCAGUGGGGAAUUUUGGACAAUGGGCGCAAGCCUGAUCCAGCCAUGCCGCGUGUGGGAAGAAGGCCUUCGGGUUGUAAACCACUUUUGUCAGGGAAGAAACGGUCUGAACUAAUACUUUGGACUAAUGACGGUACCUGAAGAAUAAGCACCGGCUAACUACGUGCCAGCAGCCGCGGUAAUACGUAGGGUGCAAGCGUUAAUCGGAAUUACUGGGCGUAAAGCGUGCGCAGGCGGCUUUGCAAGACAGAUGUGAAAUCCCCGGGCUCAACCUGGGAACUGCAUUUGUGACUGCAUGACUAGAGUACGGUAGAGGGGGAUGGAAUUCCGCGUGUAGCAGUGAAAUGCGUAGAUAUGCGGAGGAACACCGAUGGCGAAGGCAAUCCCCUGGACCUGUACUGACGCUCAUGCACGAAAGCGUGGGGAGCAAACAGGAUUAGAUACCCUGGUAGUCCACGCCCUAAACGAUGUCAACUGGUUGUUGGGAGGGUUUCUUCUCAGUAACGAAGCUAACGCGUGAAGUUGACCGCCUGGGGAGUACGGCCGCAAGGUUGAAACGUUAAAGGAAUUGACGG